UCCCUGGUGGUUCAGUGGUUAAGACUCCGUGCUUCCAAUGCAGGGGACAUGGGUUCAACCCCCAGUCAGGGAA
rfam:TPA: Bos taurus chromosome 24, whole genome shotgun sequence.